ensembl:snoRNA Snora35 small nucleolar RNA SNORA35
CAGCACUGGCAAGUGACCCAUUGGACUUUUUCUUGACCAACUGGGCAUCGAGCAGUGCAAAAACAAAACCCUCCGAAAGAUGGGAGAGUCACACUGUGGGCUACUCCCGCAUGCAGGUGGGUACAUAG